CUUGCUGCAUGCUUUAUACAUGCAAGUCGAACGAAGGCCCUAGCUUGCUAGGUGUCCUUAGUGGCGCACGGGUGAGUAACACGUGGGAACAUACCUUAUAGUACGGAAUAACUGCGGGAAACUGUAGCUAAUACCGUAUAUUCCAGUAAUGGGAAAGAUUUAUCGCUAUAAGAUUGGCCCGCGCAAGAUUAGCUUGUUGGUGAGGUAAAAGCUCACCAAGGCUUCGAUCUUUAGCUGGUUUGAGAGGAUGAUCAGCCACACUGGGACUGAGACACGGCCCAGACUCCUACGGGAGGCAGCAGUAGGGAAUAUUGGACAAUGGGGGCAACCCUGAUCCAGCAAUGCAGCGUGAGUGACGAAGGCCUUAGGGUUGUAAAACUCUUUCAUCGGUGAGGAUAAUGACAGUAGCCGAAGAAGAAGGACCGGCUAAUUCCGUGCCAGCAGCCGCGGUAAUACGGAAGGUCCUAGCGUUGUUCGGAAUUACUGGGCGUAAAGCGCAUGUAGGCGGAACAGAAAGUUAGAAGUGAAAUCCCUGGGCUCAACCUAGGAAUUGCUUUUAAAACUUCUGUUCUGGAAUUCAGGAGAGGAAAAUGGAAUUUCCAGUGUAGAGGUGAAAUUCGUAGAUAUUGGAAGGAACACCAGUGGCGAAGGCGAUUUUCUGGACUGAUAUUGACGCUGAGAUGCGAAGGCAUGGGUAGCAAACGGGAUUAGAUACCCCGGUAGUCCAUGCAGUAAACGAUGGGUGCUAGUCGUCGGACUUUUGUUCGGUGUCGUAGCUAACGCGU
rnacentral:rRNA from 1 species